rnacentral:misc_RNA from 1 species
CGCACAUUGCGCCCUUUGGCAUUCCGAGGGGCAUGCCCGUUCGAGCGUCAUUAAAUCCAAUCAAGCCUGGCUUGGUAUUGGGCGUCGGGGAUCCUCCCGCGUCCCAAUUUCGUCGGCUAACCGUUGGCCCAAUACUACCGUGUUGUGACCUUUGUAUUUCACGCUAUGAGGGGCGGACUACGCCGUUAAACCCAUCAAAGUCUGACCUCGGAUCGGGUGGGGAUACCCGCUGAACUUAA